rnacentral:lncRNA from 1 species
CUUCUAAGUUGGUAUCCUUUAAUUAUAUUCUAUUCAUUCUAUUUGAAAUUCUUUUGUAUUAAAAAGGUAGAAGAAAUGUUGUUUCUUAGGAAUCUCAUCUAUGAGCAUGCUGGCGUGUGCUAUUUAGGGAAAGAAUGUAUCUUAUUGAAAUCUUUUUCAUGAGGCAAAUAUGUGAAGCUACUUGUUACAUAAUUAGUCUAAAAUGCAUUUAAAAAAAGUAAUGCUAUUUAUGAGUAAAUAAGCAAAAAUGACAGGUUUAUAUCUUUUUGAUACUUCUCCGUUGUGAAUUUCCUAUAGAAGGCUAGCUUUUUAUCCCUCUGCGAGCGUUUACAAAACGAAUGGGAGAUCCACUUGAAGCAUUUCCUUCUCCCCUUAGGUUCCAGCGACUGGAUUUGUUACGGUUAAUAUAAGGCAAGUUUUCAUUAUAUUUUUCCCCUCCCAUAAAAAUUGUUUAAAUCUUAUUAUUUUAGAUUUCAUUCCUUAGAGCUGUUGAACUUUAGAAAUUAAAUCACCAAAUGCAUGCAAAUCUUUUUCCAACUUCCUUUCCAUCUUAAAGUAACUCUGGCCAGAACACUGUUCUUGCUUGGUGUUCUCUGGGUCUGUAUCUUUUGUUAUUUGUUGCAGCUAUUAUACCGUAUCCCUUUGUUGUGAGUUUUUCCGGGUGAGCUUGAAUCAAACAAGCGGCGUUUUAUUCUACACUGUCUUUGCAUCCUCCUCUUCUUGGUAAAUUUUUUCUCUACUUUCUUCUAUAAUUGAUUAAUUUCUUUGCUAAUAAUCUGUGCGUCAAAUUGAAAGAAACGACCCAAAAUUCAAAAAAUGACUGGUUACGUUGGGGUGUUUUUGUCAGAUUCAUGGAAACCAUUUGCCUCCAUCUCAACCAAACUCAAUUUUCCCGAUAAAUUCUGGUAGCAUUAUUCAUAUUUUGUUCCCUUUUAUACUCCUUUAAAAUUAUUUAUCUCGUAUUAUAUAUUGAAGAAUUUGUUAAUAGGUUUCUGGAAUUCUAUGUUAAUUGGUUGAAAAAUCGACCGUACAAGUGAUGUGAAGCGGAAUUAAUUAUACUGCUUUAUGGUAAGUUAUAUUUUAUGAGUUUCUUGAAUGUGAGAAUUAUGUUAGUUUUCUAUUGCUUUAUGUUUCUCUACAUUUUUCAUUGUUAGAUGAAGCUUAUUGAGUGGUUGUCGGAGGCUGUUGACAGUUAAGUGCAUUCGAGGAUUGUGAUAUGUGAUUUGACGCGGAUUUUGGAAGAGCUGGUUUUUAACAGUCUUGGCUAUAAAUUUUUCAUACUAUAAAUUUUUUAUGUAUAUGUUCCAGUUCGCAUAUGAUAUUGUAGUUGUCCCGUUGACUUGAAUACAAACUUCAACUGUUCAAUUUUCCAAUCGUAUUUUUUUUUCCGGAUCU